GUAGGUGGGUGGCCACGCCAUCACCUGCCAUUCUCCUCUUGUCGUUGUUGCUCCGGGGCCCGAUUGGACCCCGGUUUUUUUUG
rnacentral:ncRNA from 1 species